rnacentral:rRNA from 1 species
AGUAGUUUGACUCCUGGCUACAGAACGACGCUGGCGGCAUGCCUAACACAUGCAAGUCGAACGAAGCCUUCGGGCUUAGUGGCGCACGGGUGCGUAACACGUGGGAAUCUGCCCUUCGGUUCGGAAUAACAGUUAGAAAUGACUGCUAAUACCGGAUGAUGACGUAAGUCCAAAGAUUUAUCGCCGAAGGAUGAGCCCGCGUAGGAUUAGGUAGUUGGUAGGGUAAUGGCCUACCAAGCCGACGAUCCUUAGCUGGUCUGAGAGGAUGAUCAGCCACACUGGGACUGAGACACGGCCCAGACUCCUACGGGAGGCAGCAGUGGGGAAUAUUGGACAAUGGGCGAUAGCCUGAUCCAGCAAUGCCGCGUGAGUGAUGAAGGCCUUAGGGUUGUAAAGCUCUUUACCAGGGAUGAUAAUGACAGUACCUGGAGAAUAAGCUCCGGCUAACUCCGUG